GAUGAUCUGAAAAGAAAGGUAAGGGAAAAGAAAGAAUUUAAAAUCAUGUGGGAUUCCAGUAUCCAGUGACAAUGAUGGUGUACCUUUUGCAGCGUGUAUUUCAAGGUUUUCAAUACUUAGGGACAUACCUACACAUUUGCGUACAUUUGCCGACCCCUUAGCUUUUCUCAGGAGAAUAAUACUCAUUGACCCAUCUAUCAAUCAAUUCCCGUUGCUUCUCACCCUGGAGUGUACUAUAUAAAGUAGCCCAGAUAAGAAGCAGCACAAUAGCAAAUCAAAGUGUGCAAAUGUCUGCAUGUGUGUGUGUGUGUGUUUUGCCCAACUGUUGCUUGGUACCCUAGAGUGUACUACAUAGAAUUGCUCUGAUAAGAAGCAGCUCAAUAGCAAACCAAAGUCUGCGAAUGUCUGCCUUUCUGUGUGUGUGUGUGUAUGUGUGUGUGUGUGUGUGUGCCCAAAUUGUUGCUGAUCUUCUUCUUUGCCCACACUAAUGUAAUAUUCGAGACAUUUCUUUCUCCACAAGCUGUUAUAGGGCAGUCUCAUGACUCCAUUUUAUUAAUGGUUGCUUUAGAAGUUGACUGCUUAGAUCCUGGAGGUAAUCUCAAGGGCUUUCUAAAUAAAUUUUUGGAUGUCAAGUAACACACAUUUAACUCAGAUGAUCUUAAAUAUACUUUCCAAAAUUUGUUCUGACCCCUGCCUGCUCCUGCCUCUUUCUCUUACUAUGGCGCUUCUUAGGACUUCUCACCAUUGAUUUCCAGUUAGCUGCCUUCCAGCUACGUUGUGGGAUUGCAUUUUCUGGCCUUCCUGAGAUUGGGUGACUGAUUCUAGCCAAUGAGGUACAGCAUUCAAUCACUGGUACAAGACACUCUAGAGGACUGUGGCUCCCACAAAUUUCAGUCAGCGUGAGGGGAUACAGAGCAGAACUCCCUACUGCCAAGACGGACCUGGAAUAUGACGAGCACUAAACACUGGUUGUUAUGGUUUUUGAGUAACCCUCUGCUCCAAGAAGUUAUCAGUUCUUAUCCACCCUCAGAAAGCAAGUCCUGUGUAUUAAAACGUAAUCAGAUUAAGAGAGAAACCUAAUCCGACUCACCUUAGAAUGUGCUUCCUACCUCAGGAAAAUUGGAGAUAAGAAGAACUCACCCUCUUUUAGGCAACCGUAAGCUUCAGAUUUCAGAGAAUAAUAAAAAAGGAAAAUCAAUCAAACAAACAAAAUAUCCUUCAGAUUACUCCU